AAGAAGCCUUAUGGUACCAACCUAAAUUGGUAGAAUUAAGGAAGUUUUUAGUUCCUCUGCUAAUUCAGAGAUAUAUAGAAAGCCUGCAUUUUUCAACCACCUUUGGCAAUUUGCUUCCAGCAGUUCAGCAACUCCCUCGUGGACACCUUUACAAGUCAACGCUGCGCGCUGUACUGUGGGCGACGGAUGAUGCGUGUGCAGCUUGAACUGCAUGUGCGUGUCGGCACCUGGAACCGGUGGAUCCAGGAAAUUUCAACAGGCCAGACUGCAUCAUGUAGGAAAGCAACAGUGGUUGCACAAAGAUUUAAGGUUAAACAGUUACGGUGGAAAUCAACCAUUAGGCCAUAACGUCUCACAAAAACAGUGCAAAAACAAGCAGCUCUCGUCAAGGCCUGGAUUAUCCUGACCAUAUGACACAAAAUGGAUUCAUUUAAAGGCAACCUUCAAGGAACUGAAUCUGAAAGACAAGUAACCAGUUCCUCAUUUGACGAUAUGUCACUCUUUGGUGUGCAUGAUGCACGUACUUCAUGCUUUGGGUCACAAGGAAGACGGAAAUACGGAGACAACAGUUCUGUGAAUUAUAAGCAGACUUUAGGUCACAAACAAAAGCAGAGAGACGUGGAUCUGAUAAGCAGUAGAAACCUGUCUUUCUGGUCAUUUAAGUGACAGCAGAUGUGAAAAGGGUUUGGUUUAAAUGCAGUUUUCAAAUCCAGACGACCUCACUAUUUAAAAUGUGGUUGACUAAAUCAUUCUUUCAAAAUUGCUGAAUUAUUUCUCGUAAGGUUGGAAUGCAUCUUGUGGUGGUUUUACUGGAUUUCCAAAAAUAGUUGGCAGAAAUAGGGACAGUACACACUAAUGCACAUAUGCAGCAAUAUAUGUAAAUAUGUCAGAUUAUAGCUCAAGGCUAGUUUCCACCUGGAGUCUCUUGGCAGGUUGGUGGAACAUUAAAAAAAAGACACUUAACACAGAGAUAACAAACAAAGACAGAGCAACUGUAGAAAGAUAAAAAUCACAUGGCCCUGCGAUGGACUGGUAAUCUGUCCAGGAUGUACCGACUAUCGUCCUAUGUCAGCACCCCCAGCGACCCCGCCGUGGAGGAUUAAGCGGUAGAAAAUGGAUGGGUGGAUGGAGGUGGAGCCAGUCCAUGCAGGAUUUUAUACAUUCAGGCAGGCAGUUUUAAACGUUUUAUUUUAGGAGGUUAUAUCUAUAGGUAGAAUAUUACAGAAUAUCGUGUAUCGUGUAAAUUUUCAGUGCUUUUUUAGAAAGUGAUUUGAUUGGUUUGAGGGUCGCCACUCCCGCCAGUGACCAGCUUGUAAAACAAAAGCUCAACAAUAGCUUUCAUUUAAGAUGAAAUGAAUGGCUAACAACAGGCAUUUCCUGUCCUUUGCAAUGUAUGUACUUGUCUGCAACUUCAUGUAAGAGAACACCUCAAGUUUCACUUUCAUCAUGUUAGUAAAAUAAUAUUCAAAAUAAUAAUAAGUCACAAUUACUAGUUAAAUGAUGUUAAUUUGUGUAUUUGAUUAGGGUUAUCAUCGCAGAACGCUCCGGUAAUUGAAAGUUGUGCAAAAGUCGCAGUUAAAUUAUCGCGAUUCCAAAUUCUAUAGGGUGUAAUAUGGGAAGAAAAUAGCACAGAAAAGUUUGGGCGGUCUACUGCUUUUAGGCAUUCUUUGCACUCAUCUCUUCAUGAUUAUUAUUAUUAUCAUUACCUCUGUACGAAUGUUCUGUCUGUUUGUCGAUGAUCACCUGUAUAAAUAAAAAUGUACAUAAUCA